UACGGGGGGGGCAAGCGUUGUUCGGAAUUACUGGGCGUAAAGGGCUCGUAGGCGGCCAACUAAGUCGGAUGUGAAAUCCCCAGGCUUAACCUGGGAACUGCAUCCGAUACUGGAUGGCUUGAAUCCGGGAGAGGGAUGCAGAAUUCCAGGUGUAGCGGUGAAAUGCGUAGAUAUCAGGAAGAACACCCGUGGCGAAAGCGGCUCUCUGGAACGGUACUGACGCUGAGACGCGAAAGCGUGGGGAGCGAACAGG
rnacentral:rRNA from 1 species